rnacentral:rRNA from 1 species
GUGGGGAAUAUUGGACAAUGGGGGGAACCCUGAUCCAGCCAUGCCGCGUGUGUGAAGAAGGCCUUUUGGUUGUAAAGCACUUUAAGCGAGGAGGAGGCUACCGAGAUUAAUACUCUUGGAUAGUGGACGUUACUCGCAGAAUAAGCACCGGCUAACUCUGUGCCAGCAGCCGCGGUAAUACAGAGGGUGCAAGCGUUAAUCGGAUUUACUGGGCGUAAAGCGCGCGUAGGUGGCCAAUUAAGUCAAAUGUGAAAUCCCCGAGCUUAACUUGGGAAUUGCAUUCGAUACUGGUUGGCUAGAGGAUGGGAGAGGAUGGUAGAAUUCCAGGUGUAGCGGUGAAAUGCGUAGAGAUCUGGAGGAAUACCGAUGGCGAAGGCAGCCAUCUGGCCUAAUACUGACACUGAGGUGCGAAAGCAUGGGGAGCAAACAGGAUUAGAUACCCCGGUAGUCC